rnacentral:rRNA from 1 species
AUACGGAGGAUCCAAGCGUUAUCCGGAUUUAUUGGGUUUAAAGGGUGCGUAGGCGGUUUAGUAAGUCAGCGGUGAAAUUUUGGUGCUUAACACCAAACGUGCCGUUGAUACUGCUGGGCUAGAGAGUAGUUGCGGUAGGCGGAAUGUAUGGUGUAGCGGUGAAAUGCUUAGAGAUCAUACAGAACACCGAUUGCGAAGGCAGCUUACCAAACUAUAUCUGACGUUGAGGCACGAAAGCGUGGGGAGCAAACAGGAUUAGAUACCCUGGUAGUCCACGCAGUAAACGAUGAUAGCUCGUUGUCGGCGAUACACAGUCGGUGACUAAGAGAAAUCGAUAAGCUAUCCACCUGGGGAGUACGUUCGCAAGAUUAAAACUCAAAGGAAUUGACGGGGCCCGCACAAGCGGUGGAGCGAUGUGGUUUAAUUCGACGCAACGCGCAG